rnacentral:rRNA from 1 species
UACGUAGGGUGCGAGCGUUAAUCGGAAUUACUGGGCGUAAAGCGUGCGCAGGCGGUGAUGUAAGACAGGGGUGAAAGCCCGGGGCUCAACUCCGGAAUUGCCUUUAAGACUGCAUCGCUAGAAUUGUGGAGAGGUAAGUGGAAUUCCGAGUGUAGAGGUGAAAUUCGUAGAUAUUCGGAAGAACACCAGUGGCGAAGGCGACUUACUGGACACAUAUUGACGCUGAGGUGCGAAAGCGUGGGGAGCAAACAGG